UCCAGCAGCUGCUUAUUGAGGGAGGCUUUCGGCCCCAGAUCCUGGUGGUUGGGAAACAGCCAGGGACACGAUCAGACAUGACUCCUGCCCUAAGGGAGCUUGGAGUCCAGGAGGAGGACUGGGAAUACGGGAGUAUGAGUGUCUCAGUGUAAGGACUGAGCGCUCAGAGUAUGCUGAGACUGCACUACCGCAGGCAUGGCCUUGCUGGGACAAAUGCAAAUGGGAUGAGUUGAUGGCAAAGGACCACCCAGAGCAGGACAGUGCUGUGCCUGCCAUUUGGGGGCCCUUCCUGGCUGGGGACUCAGACCGCGAGGUCACUGCUGGGCUGCUCCCUCCACUCCCGUCUGUGCUCCAAACACAGCCCAGCCCUCUGUGGCAGAAGGAUCGAGGAACGGAGCAGGAAGAGCGACCUGCAGGGAAACAGUGACGCCAGGAGCCUUCAGAUGGCUGACAGCACUGUCCACCACACACUGUCCACCACAGCCUCACCAGCCUCAGGCUUGGGCUCCAAAUUUCAGCACAGUGGUCAUUGUCACUGAUGUGCCACCACCUGGCCAUGACCAGUACCUCAGCACGGUGGCCAUUGUCGCAGACAUGCCACCACCCUACCAUGACGGGUGUCUCAGAAUGGUGACCAUCAUCACAGACGUGCCACCACUUCAGCAUGACCAACAUCUCACCAUGACGACCACUGUCCCAGGCAUGUCACCAGCUCACGAUGGCCCAUAUCUCACCAUGGUGACCACUGUCACAGACGUGCUACCACCCUACCAAGACCAGUAUUUCAGCAUGGCGACCACUGUCCAGACGUGUCACCAUCCCACCACCCGUAUCUCAGUCAUGAAUGGAAAGAAAUGGGAAUAAUCAGACCAAACAAAGGGCCAGAGGUCCAUGACCACGAUCUAUAUCAUCCCUCCCACCCCCUUCCAUGCUCAAUAGCCAUCAUUUAAAAAUAACCACGAGAGAAUCACCCAUAACUCGCGUCCUGCCUGCCCCACAGGACACACCUCCCCUCCUGAGCAUGUCUCAGCUCUGUGUGACACUAGCUCAUUACCCAAGAGGUGGAAUCUUGACCCCCUGGGAAGCCACACGCAAUGUUCAAGGAAGGCUCCGGGAGCGGCCA